UACGUAGGGGGCAAGCGUUGUCCGGAAUCAUUGGGCGUAAAGCGCGUGUAGGCGGCCCGGUAAGUCCGCUGUGAAAGUCGGGGGCUCAACCCUCGAAAGCCGGUGGAUACUGUCGGGCUCGAGUACGGGAGAGGCGAGUGGAAUUCCUGGUGUAGCGGUGAAAUGCGCAGAUAUCGGGAAGAACACCCGUGGCGAAGGCGGCUCUCUGGGACGGUACUGACGCUGAGACGCGAAAGCGUGGGGAGCGAACAGG
rnacentral:rRNA from 1 species